rnacentral:rRNA from 1 species
GACGAACGCUGGCGGCGUGCUUAACACAUGCAAGUCGAACGGUGAAGCGAGUGCUUGCACUCGUGGAUCAGUGGCGAACGGGUGAGUAACACGUGAGUAACCUGCCCAUCACUCUGGGAUAAGCACUGGAAACGGUGUCUAAUACUGGAUACGACCAACCCUUGCAUGGGGUGUUGGUGGAAAGAUUUAUCGGUGAUGGAUGGACUCGCGGCCUAUCAGAUUGUUGGCGGGGUAAUGGCCCACCAAGGCGACGACGGGUAGCCGGCCUGAGAGGGUGACCGGCCACACUGGGACUGAGACACGGCCCAGACUCCUACGGGAGGCAGCAGUGGGGAAUAUUGCACAAUGGGCGAAAGCCUGAUGCAGCGACGCCGCGUGAGGGAUGACGGCCUUCGGGUUGUAAACCUCUUUCAGCAGGGAAGAAGCGAAAGUGACGGUACCUGCAGAAGAAGCACCGGCUAACUACGUG